rnacentral:lncRNA from 1 species
UGCAAUAAUGCUGAAUCCCUGCAGUGGAGGAACAGCCAUUGCUUCUCUUCUCUGUCAAUAGUGAAUUAAGUGUGUGUUUAUGGGGCUCACGGUUAUUUUCUUUUGAGAAAGUUAAUUGAUGGAAGGUUAAAUAAAGCCACAAGUUUUUACUUAAAGAAAACAGAGAAAAUGAAGGAUUACUUUAAUUAUGAGCAAUGUGUCAAAAGAAAUGUUUCCCAAAUUAAUCUUUUCUGGGAGUGCAACAAUUCUUCCUAUAAUUCAUUUUAACGCCUCAUAAAAAAAAAAAAAAGGAGGGGGCUCAUUCUACCCAAUUCUUCUUUUAUAGAUACACACACAGUGUUCGGUCAGCUCUCACUUAGAUUACAACAAGCAACAUGAAUUAAUUACAGGCAUUAAAGCUUUUCUUUCCAAGGUGUUUGCUUUCUAAGGAUUAGUUUUCCCACGUUAGCUGCAGGAGGCACCCCUUUCUGGUUAAAGGAGAGGCUUAUUCUGGAAAGUGACUAGGAAAGCCUUAGUACCGCUCCCUCUCCUUUAAAAUAUCCUAAAUCCUCCAGGAUGUUACACAUCCAGUUGUGUCUUUUAAAGGCAGCUCAACUGAAUUCUUCCAAGGAAAGAGCAGAACAGUCUUGGAAUGGUUUGAGUGUUAACAUUUGUUCUUAAUCUAUCAAAAUUCUCCUACUCAUGUUCUCAGAGUUUGUGAGUAUUCUCUGAAGCCUUUUCAGAGCUGGAAAUCAGUCCAAUUCCAGUAGUAGGGGAGGGUUGAAAAGGAUGGAGGAGGUGUUCUGUCGAUUUCUUUUUUUCCUACAAUGUUGACGAGUAAGAAAACUCGAAGACCCUACUUAGAGGUCAAAUUGAAAUGAUGUCUCAAGUGCUCUGAAGCUGUCUUUGACCAUGAGGAGAGAAGAAAAAAACAAAACCACUACCUCUACUGAUGUCAAAGGCAGAGCUACAAAAUGUGCUCAUUACGGGCCUAUCUGCCAGCAACAAAAGGGAGGAGACUCCUAUUUCAGCAGGUAUGAAUCUCAAUAGUUGCUUUCAUCUCCGGAGAGUUC